rnacentral:rRNA from 1 species
GACGAACGCUGGCGGCGUGCUUAACACAUGCAAGUCGAACGGAAAGGCCCUGUUUUUGUGGGGUGCUCGAGUGGCGAACGGGUGAGUAACACGUGUGUAACCUGUCCUUGACUUAGGGAUAACUUCAGGAAACUGGGGCUAAUACCGGAUAGGAGCUCUUGCUGCAUGGUGGGGGUUGGAAAGUUUCGGCGGUUGGGGAAGGAAUCGCGGCUUAUCAGCUUGUUGUGGGGGUAGUGGCUUACCAAGGCUUUGACGGGUAGCCGGCCUGAGAGGGUGACCGGCCACAAUGGGACUGAGCUACGGCACAGACUCCAACGGGAGGCAGCAGUGGAGAAUAUUGCACAAUGGGCGGAAGCCUAAUGCAGCAAAGCCGCGUGCGGGAUGACGGCCUUCGGGUUGUAAACCGCUUUCCCCUGUGACGAGGCGUGAAUGACGGUAAUAGGUGAAGAAGCACCGGCUAACUACGUG